rnacentral:misc_RNA from 1 species
AAAAAAAAAAAAAAAAAAACACUGAAAGUAAGCUGCUGCCUGCUAGCUAGCAUUACCACGCAACUACAACACAAUAGAAAAAUUAAUGAAAUAAUGAACAAUGAUUCCCUUCAAAGUGAAGCUAAAAACCCAGGCGUUGGCUAAGAUAUGUGGAGUUCAAUUACGGAUGUACAUACGCUAAUCCAUUCCCACAUUCAAUUUA